rnacentral:rRNA from 1 species
GGCCCAUGCCACCCUGAACACACCCCAUCUCAUCUGAUCUCAGAAGCUAAGCAAGGUCAGGCCUGGUUAGUACUUGGAUGGGAGACCUCCUUGGGGUAUUGGGUGCUGUAGCCU